GACGAACGCUGGCGGCGUGCUUAACACAUGCAAGUCGAACGGAAACGCCCUGCUUUUGUGGGGUGCUCGAGUGGCGAACGGGUGAGUAACACGUGAGUAACCUGCCCUUGACGUUGGGAUACCUUCAGGAAACUGGGGCUAAUACCGGCUAGGAGCUCCUGCUGCAUGGUGGGGGUUGGAACGUUUCGGCGGUUGGGGCUGGACUGGGGGCUUAUCAGCUGGUUGGGGGGGUGGUGGCUUAGCAAGGCAUUGACAGGUGGCCGACCUGGUCGGGGAACCGGACACAAUACGCCUGAGAUACGACGCAGACUCGUAUGGUAGGCAGCGGUGGGGAAUAUUACACAAUGAGCGGGAGCCUGAUGCAACAACGCCGCGUGCGGGAUGAGGUCCUGCGGGUUGUAAACUGCUUUCGCCUGUGACGAAGCGUGAGUGACGGUACCGGGUGAAGAAGCACCGGCUAACUACGUG
rnacentral:rRNA from 1 species